UGGUGGAGUGAUUUGUCUGCUUAAUUGCGAUAACGAACGAGACCUUAACCUGCUAAAUAGUCAGGCCAGCUUUGGCUGGUCGCGGGCUUCUUAGAGGGACUAUCGGCUUCAAGCCGAUGGAAGUUUGAGGCAAUAACA
rnacentral:rRNA from 1 species